AUUGAACGCUGGCGGCAUGCCUUACACAUGCAAGUCGAACGGCAGCAUGGAGAGCUUGCUCUCUGAUGGCGAGUGGCGAGCGGGUGAGUAAUGCAUCGGAACGUACCGUGUAAUGGGGGAUAACGUAGCGAAAGUUACGCUAAUACCGCAUACGACCUGAGGGUGAAAGCAGGGGAUCGCAAGACCUUGCGUUAUACGAGCGGCCGAUGUCAGAUUAGCUAGUUGGUGAGGUAAAGGCUCACCAAGGCGACGAUCUGUAGCGGGUCUGAGAGGAUGAUGCGCCACACUGGGACUGAGACACGGCCCAGACUCCUACGGGAGGCAGCAGUGGGGAAUUUUGGACAAUGGGGGCAACCCUGAUCCAGCCAUGCCGCGUGAGUGAAGAAGGCCUUCGGGUUGUAAAGCUCUUUCGGCCGGGAAGAAAUCGCACAGGCUAAUACUCUGUGCGGAUGACGGUACCGGCAUAAGAAGCACCGGCUAACUACGUGCCAGCCGCCGCCGUAA
rnacentral:rRNA from 1 species